rnacentral:rRNA from 1 species
AGUGAACGCUGGCGGUAGGCCUAACACAUGCAAGUCGAACGGCAGCACAGUAAGAGCUUGCUCUUACGGGUGGCGAGUGGCGGACGGGUGAGGAAUACAUCGGCAUCUACUUUUUCGUGGGGGAUAACGUAGGGAAACUUACGCUAAUACCGCAUACGACCUACGGGUGAAAGCAGGGGAUCUUCGCACCUUGCGCGAUUGAAUUAGCCGAUGUCGGAUUAGCUAGUUGGCGAGGUAAAGGCCCACCAAGGCGACGAUCCGUAGCUGGUCUGAGAGGAUGAUCAGCCACACUGGAACUGAGACACGGUCCAGACUCCUACGGGAGGCAGCAGUGGGGAAUAUUGGACAAUGGGCGCAAGCCUGAUCCAGCCAUACCGCGUGGGUGAAGAAGGCCUUCGGGUUGUAAAGCCCUUUUGUUGGGAAAGAAAAGCAGCAGGUUAAUACCCCGCUGUUCUGACGGUACCCAAAGAAUAAGCACCGGCUAACUUCGUG